rnacentral:rRNA from 1 species
GUCUUCUUGUUAUAUUUAGGAAGUCUGGCCUGCCCAGUGAAAAUAAUUUAACGGCCGCGGUAUACUGACCGUGCAAAGGUAGCAUAAUCAUUAGUCUUUUAAUAGAGGGCUGGUAUGAAGGGUUUAACGAGGUGUUGACUGUCUCAUUUAAUUUGAAUUUAGAAUUUAAUUUUUUAGUUAAAAAGCUAAGAUAUUAUUGGAAGACGAGAAGACCCUAUAGAGCUUUAUACUUUUACUAUUGAUUUAUUAUAGAUUAUUAUUAUUUAUUAUUAGUAGAAAGUAUUUUGUUGGGGUGACAAAAAUAUAUGAAUAACUUUUUUAUUUUAUUUACAUUGAUAUAUGAAUAUUAGAUCCAAUCUUAUUGAUUGUUAGAUUAAGUUACCUUAGGGAUAACAGCGUAAUCCCUCUCCAGAGUUCAUAUUUACAGAGGGGCUUGCGACCUCGAUGUUGGAUUAAGAUAAUAAUUAGGUGCAGCCGCUUAAUUAAUAGGUCUGUUCGACCUUUAAAUUCUU